UGUCCAAUUGUUCAAAAUGCCAGGAACCUGGACAACUUGCAGUCACGACCCUCUACCAGUGACAUAUCUUGGCAAACCAGCCAGGAGAAAAGUACCCUCGUGGACAGCACCUAAGCAUGGAGACAACUAAGUUUCUGGCCAGGGCCACUCUCUGGUGAAACUGAAAGUUUCCACGUGGAAGCGCCUGACUGCUACCGCCCAGUUCAGCUACCCUUUCAGGUUAUAGUCCCCGAACAUUACGUGUGACGCAGUUGGCUGUGGCAUCU